rnacentral:rRNA from 1 species
GGACUACCGGGGUAUCUAAUCCUGUUUGCUCCCCACGCUUUCGCGCCUCAGCGUCAGUUACAGACCAGAAAGCCGCCUUCGCCACUGGUGUUCCUCCACAUCUCUACGCAUUUCACCGCUACACGUGGAAUUCCGCUUUCCUCUUCUGCACUCAAGUCCCCCAGUUUCCAAUGACCCUCCACGGUUGAGCCGUGGGCUUUCACAUCAGACUUAAAGGACCGCCUGCGCGCGCUUUACGCCCAAUAAUUCCGGACAACGCUUGCCACCUACGUAUUACCGCGGCUGCUGGCAC